CUCUACCCUACCCCACACCCAGAAGAGGAGGGAGACCAUGAAAUUGUGCAGCUAGAAUUUGGAGAAUUCCUUCCCUCCCUAAUGUGUAGAAUAACUGUUGACAAAGAAGUCAGAGUGAACGGAAUCAUUGAAGCCAGCCGGUACUUCUGUAUAGUAACAUACCCAAGAAUAUUUCAUUUUUAAAACAAAAAAAUACACCCAGAAGAAAACUUCUUAAGGCAAAAUGCUGUCUACAGUUACUGCUUUACAUUUAUUCAGUGAUUGGCUCUGCCCCUGAAGGACUUGCAGCCAGUUGAAGACAGAAGACAAAACACAUAAGGAAUUCCUGCUCCAGUUGUCUGGUGUUUGGUGAUCUUGGGGGAUAUGGGAAAUUCACAGAGAAGUCCUAAAACAAAAAUAAUUUUACUUCUAUUUAAUUUAUGAGCUAUGUAUCAUCAGUACAGCUUUUUAGUAAAAUACAGUUUAUAAAGUCAAGUGAUAGUGAAUCUCAACUCCAGAGAAAGAGGAAAGGAAGAAUUAGCAACCUCUCAACAAGAGGAUAGUUUCAAGUGUGUUCAUAAACAUGAUGAAAAAGCUCCAAGUCUGCUCUGCUUAGGAGCUCCUGAGAGCCCAGGAAGGUUGAGCCUUUUAUUGUGGAGGUUAAAAAGUAAGUGGACAGUUAGUUGCCAGGUGAGGUGAUAGUUCCUCACCUCCCUCCUGGGAGCGGGUUUUACUGUAGGGCAAUCACAGGGGGAAGCUGGAGAAUGUGAUCCAAGAAGAACAUGAGAAAGAUCCUUCCAGAAACUUGUCCUGACUGAGCAGAACUCCAAAUAGAACAUCACAGUAGCUGCUUAUUGUUCAGACCUCAAGAUCACACCUGGAACGUAGAUUGCUGGCGUAGAAGAUGCCUUACUCUAAGAUCCUCAGCUGCUCUGUCAUGGGUCCGGCCUCUGGAGACGGUCUCUUCGUUCCAGUUCGUCAGACUGCGAGAGGCUGUGGUCCAGCUGCACUCCAGUGCUGGCCGUAGACCGGUCAUCCCUAGCCGUGGGAAUGGAGGGCUCCUACGGCAGACACAUGGCUCCUGGCGGUGUCAGGGUGGUGAGGGAGGGAUGUUACGGGGUCCACUCUGAACUGAGAGGACACUCUGAAAAGCUUUCCACUCCAUGUAGCAAAUCUGUUAGCUGGAUAUGUACCCUGCAAAGGUGCCAGGAGGGGCACCAGCUGCCUUCUGCCUUGAAGAUGACAAACCAGAUCUAAUGGACACACCAGCCGCCUCCACCUAUUGCGAACGUGUAGCCAUAUAACCUUUGUUUACUUCAGAAAGGGCUCCCUCAGGAUGAUGGUCAGCUUCCUUCCCUCUUGCAGGGCAGAGCCCGUUGGGGGUGCUACCAAAGCUUUUCUUUAGAGGUCUUUCACUCCCUUGGUUAACUGUAGUCCUGUUCUGCCGAUGAGAUGUACUGAAGUCAGAGAAUAGUGAGCGGAGGGCAGAAUGGGGGGCAAAGCUCUCAGCCUGAAACCUGAAAACCUUUCUGUCACCGCUGGCACUCUCU